UUGUACACAGGGAACACAUACAAAAUAUAUAUAUAUAUCAAGUUAAAUUUAAGAGUGACUGAAAUCUUUGCAAAAAUAACCUCAUGUAAUUCUUGAUAGGUAUGUGCCAUUUGAAGUACCCAACUAUGUAUGAUUUUCUCAUUUUUACUACUGAAUUUUCUUUUGCAUGAGAAUGAUUUUUAAAAAGACAAAAUGUAUCGGGAUACGUGACAUAAAAUCCCUCUCCCCUGCCCUCCAUUUUAAUUAUCUGUAUGGAUAGAAGGCUAUGAGUAUAAUUUAUUUUUGUCUAGCCUAGUUCAUGGACAUUGUCUACUAUAUAGCUUAUGCAUUCUAUCCUUACUUACAACCAUGCCUGCAACAUUUUGUGAAGUUUUUACUAAUUUAAGAGGAAGAAAGAUAAAUUGAUUGAUUGACAUGGUAUAUUUGGAAGCCCUUUUGAUCCUCUGGGAAGAAAAAGGACUCAAGAGAUUUCAAAACUAACAUUUCAUUUCUUCCCUUUGCAAGGGAAGAAAUCUUAGUUCUUUAAAAGUGAAUAAUUAUAAGGAUGGUAACAAUGAGGGAAAUAAGAGGCUGAAAUUUGACCCAAAUAUAAUAUUACUGAUCAUGAAAGAUUUUUUAGUUUUAAAAUAAUUAAAAUAUUUUUUUAACAAUCUGUUGUAUAAUUUUAGCCAUUGAUACCUAAUAUUAAUUAGGCCUCCAAAGGCAAAGAAACCUCUCAUAGAUUUCAGAUUUUCUCAUAUGUUUACAAACUUAUGGACCAUUUUUUACAGAAAACUACUCAAUGAGUUAUUUUUAUAAUCACCUAUCAUAGAAUUUUGUAGUUUCAAUCCCUGUAUAUGUUAAAUGCACAUAUAUACACACAUUCAUACAUAUAUACAUACACAAAUACAUACAUAUACACAAAAAUACAUACAUACAUACACACAUAAUUUUCCCCAACAAAUUUAUACCCAAACUACUGGCCUGCUCCUUCUUGAGAUAGAGACUCUGAUGAACCCCUGCUACACCUGGAAAAAAGCUAUCUAAAAUGGAC
rnacentral:lncRNA from 1 species